UGGAGGCAUUUUCUGAGGCUUCUUCCUAUUCUGGUGUGUAUGAAGCUAACAUAAAACCAACCAGUACAGCAUCCAACUGCUCAUCAUUGUCUACACAACCCUACAGGACAAGCAGGCCUGCAAAAUUUGUUUAUGGCAGCUCUGAGUCACUACUCAUCUGCAUCAGCCGGGACACAGAGGAUGUAAUGCUGGGCCUGUCCUUGAAAAGUCAUAUUCUACAAGGGUGAAUUCCGUUCUCCCCACAGCUUAGUAUCCUUCUUGGUAGGAGAUAACUCAUUCUGACAGGACUGUGAAGUGCCUCCCUACCCCAGCAGCUGGAGAAACCCCAGGACUAUGUGAAGUCAUCUCACAGAGUGAAUUCUCUGUUCUGUAUGUUUCCACUGUAUUUUAGAGACCCAGCUCUCCCAAGUCUCUCUCCUCAGCAAACAUUAAGGGCUGAACCAACUCUCCAGCCCUACAAUUGCUAGCCCUUUAGUCACAACUUUGAGCUGGGCAGAGUGGUGCACACCUUUAAUGCCAGCACUUGGGAGGCAGAGCUGUGUGAUCUCUGAGUUCAAGGUCAGCCUGGUCUACACCAUGAGCUCUAAACCAGCUAGGGCUGCACAGUGAGACCCUGGCUCAACAAAACUUGGUGGAGAUGGCUCGGUGGUUAAGAGCACUUAUUGCUCUUGUAGUAGACCUGUGUUCAGUUCCCAGGGCUCAAGGUGGCUCAUAA
rnacentral:lncRNA from 1 species